ACAGAUCCACCAUGUGUGUGAAGUCCUAAUUUACGGUAAAACUCAGCAACGGGAUCAUCAUUUUAAGGUAGCUUUCACAGUAGUAAUAGUUCCUGAAGUAAAGUGUUCUCAUUCCCUCUUGGAUGUGUGCAGCCAGUGAGGUACGUUUUGUUUAAGGUCUAGUUAUAUCUGCUCGACGGCACGGACAGCUAACUGGGCUAGAGAGAGGAGCUAGCGAUUGCCGGACGGGCCAGCCAGUCAGCCAGCUUGCUAACUACACACCGAGGCUUACGUGCACAUGUACUCAACGAAGUGGAAACGCCUUUGACGAUGGCCCGUGCAAAGUCAUGCCACCAGUCUGAGGACAUCACUGGGAAUGGCACAUGGGACACGUGGCUUUCAACUCCAGCGAGGUGGGCUUCACCGCGGGCAAUCGUGGCAAAGACCCAAGUCGACUGGACCACAGCGGAAAAUGAUCCUUCCAGAGAAGAAGUUAUUUACUUCUACAACGAAUGGAAGAGUUACAACUUCCAGAUGACAGCUCUCCGCUCAUCCUUCUGGGCAACUUGAACAUCCGACAGAACUUAUGUGACCUACUGCGUUUAUUUUCUCCUUUAGCUCUCAUUUAAGUAUUAAAAUUCACUGUAUUUUUGCAAGAGAGGCACCAAUCCUAUUUGAGUGACGUUUCGAUUGUGAAAUUGUAUUGGACCAUAUAGGUCAUCUGCAGAGCGUUGGCCCCUGGCGCAGUAAACCAGGGUUUGAUUCUUGGCAUGCACAAGACUCCUCAUGUGACUUAAAAUGAAUCCAGAAUGCAAUAUUUGUUCAGUAUGCAAGGGCAGUGAUUUAUUUAGUCAUGUUUGGUCAUGUUUUGGUUUUUUUACAUGACAAUAUGGUUUGGUACAUGCUGAGUUAAUGAAUAUACAUUCUAAAGUGCAAUGUCCAUAUGUGAAUAAGAGUUGUAUACGUUUAUCAUAGUCAACAUGGUGUGGAAAUAUCCCUUAUGUAGUUGGUCAAUGGGAACUAUAGUAGGCCGUAAUAACAGCUAAGGUAAUUACAGGUGGAUAUUUCUGGGAAUUAACCUUAAAUGAGACUGCAUUUAUGAUAUCUAAGAUAUACAGGACAAGAAAAAUGCACUGGAUGUGUAUAUGUGUUGAAUCAAUUAUACAGACGCAAACUGGAGAACGAGACAAGUGUUGCUGUGAUACUUAUUGUGGUCAUCGUGCCCGAGACCCGUAACAAUUACUCCGCAGGUCUUUUGCAGCGGGGCAACAGCCCGGCGUCGGUGGAUUCCGUUCGCGAGGCCGCAGAUUCAGGUUUGAAUGGCAGCCCCGAGAGUGAUUUGUUUAGUCUCUUUAGUCUUUUUUGACCCGCGAGCCCGGCCGACCGCCGCCCCACCCCAACGUGCGAGAAUAGGCGAAGGCCCGUUCAUCGCUGCUUGCAGCUUUAAUUAGGGCCUGAGCCGACUGAAAGUCGGGCGAAAGCCCUAUUGAAAUUGCAAGAAUUCUUCUUAUUAUUAUUAUUUCACCUCUUCAAUCGCACUUUUGGGGCCUUUGCCAUGUUCAAAAACUCUUGAAUUUUUGCAUGCGCUUCAGAAGUGCGAAAAAUUUAUAUAUUCUUGGGGUCGCGCAAUUUGGGGAUGAAAAAAAGUGCUCUCUAGCGCCCCCUAAAGUGCUGCCUCUGGGGACAUUUUUGUCCGCUUUUACGGAUUGACUUGAAAUUUUGCACACAGGUGCUCUUGGAUGUGCUCUACAAAAAAGUCAAUCAUGGUAUGCAAAUGCGCCUACCGUUUUAUGGCCGCCAUUUUGAAUUUUGUGAAAAACACGUUUUUGCGAACUCCUCCCAGACGCUUGGUCCGAUUUUGACGAAAUCUUCACCAAAAUGAUCAGUGGCUCAAUGCCAUCAAAAGUUAUUAAAAGCUUGUUGAUAUCUCAUUGGGUUUUUAAUUGAUGGACCAAUCAAUUUGUCGGGGGUGUGGCCUAAAAAGGAAAGACCAAUAACUUAAA